rnacentral:rRNA from 1 species
UACGGAGGGUGCAAGCGUUAUCCGGAUUCACUGGGUUUAAAGGGUGUGUAGGCGGAUUUUUAAGUCAGUGGUGAAAUCUCCGGGCUCAACCCGGUAACUGCCAUUGAUACUAUUAGUCUUGAAUUCUGUUGAGGUGGGCGGAAUACAUCAUGUAGCGGUGAAAUGCUUAGAUAUGAUGUAGAACACCGAUUGCGAAGGCAGCUCACUAAGCAGACACUGACGCUGAGGCACGAAAGCGUGGGGAUCAAACAGG